UAAUUAAUGUUAAAUUAAAUAUAUAUGUUACAACUCCUGGAAUAAGUUGAGCAGCACUUACUAGCAGACCUGGGUCAUGUCUGUCAAAGCUUUCUUGGUGUCACUACCGAAACAUUAAAUCCGUCUUUUACCAUGAACGGUGACACCGAAAAACCUUGGUUAUUUAUUUAUGCUUGUUAAUCAUCACUUCUUUUUUUGUUUACGUGAGGGGAAUUAUGGCAGUUCUCUCUUAUAUGGCCUGCUGCAGUGAAGUGGUCAUUAAGUCUUGAACAAUGGCUUUCUUAUCAGUAAUGAGCCCAGAGUGAACAACAAUUUGUCUUGGCAACGAGGUGUAGGAACUGCUCUUCAGGCUUUUUACGGCUAUCCAGAAUUUGUCUGGAUUCCCCUUGCAAUCAGAUGUGUUGCACCCAUUUCCAAUAGAAAUUCCAUUUCCCAGAGUUGAUGUUGGAGCCCACUAACUGCGCUGCUCUGCUAAAACACAAGUUGUUCUGACAGCAUUCUACAGCCUCCUUCUGGACAAAUGUUGAAAUUACACAGUGGCGACAAUGGACCAUCAUCCAGUGAAAAAUCCCAACGGAAUGCAAGCAAUUGGGGUUCAAUUCUUAACCAAAAGGCAAGCUUAGCGGAGAAUCUCCAUUAUAAUCCAGCCUAGCAAGUAAAACUCAACCAUCCUUUUCAAAGU